rnacentral:rRNA from 1 species
AUCUUGACCUCAGAUCAGGCAAGGCUACCCGCUGAAUUUAAGCAUAUUAAUAAGCGGAGGAAAAGAAACUAACAAGGAUUCCCCCAGUAACGGCGAGUGAAGCGGGAAUAGCUCAAAUUUGAAAUCUCCGACGCUUGCGUCGGCGAGUUGUAGUUGCGAGAAGCACUUUCUAGGCGGAUCGGUCGUGCCUAAGUUGCUUGGAACAGUACGUCACAGAGGGUGACAACCCCGUCUGUGGCGCGGCCGGCCGCUCACGAUGUGCU